rnacentral:tRNA from 1 species
CAUUUUUGAGUUAUCUUCAUAUAUUUAAUAUAAGCGAGACUUAAAAGUCUCCUCAAAACUACC